rnacentral:lncRNA from 1 species
UCAUUUCUGUCUUUUUUUAAUUAAGGCUUUGAACUCAUCAAUUAGUUACAUUUUUCACCAACAAAACUGUUCAACAUGAACGUCAGCAAAGGAACAAGUCGACGCUCGGCUCAAACGGGCUCAGAGACUUGAAGUUUCUGGGGGUUUUUACAAGAAAAAUCUAAUUCCUGAGGAUUUUUGUCAGUAAAAGUAGACGUUUCUGUGACGGCUUCAAUCGUGAUGUGUUAUCCAGGAUGCUGAUGCGAAAAGUGAAUCCCACAAAACGGGGUCGUCUGAAUUCCGCCCAGACCGCAGCUGCUCGGGAUAAAGAGGAUGUGGCGUCCCACCUGACUUUGCUUUCUCUGAUUGAAGAUGACAUCUCAGAAAGAGAAGAGGGUGAAGAUGAACAGGAGAUUGAAGAUUCUGACAAUGAAUCGCAGUCUUCUUACACACUGCCUUCUACAAGGCACACCUCCGUCAGCGUCCUCGAUGAGCUCUUUGACUGAAAUCAGUCGGGAUCCUCCAGCCAGAGGAGCUUCAGGAGUAAAAAGUACUUUAAAAAAAAAAGGUUUCAUUUUCUGUUUGAGAGCUGUUGCCUUUUGUAACUUUAUUUAUAAAGAUUUUUUUUGUUGUUGUAAAAGAUUAAAUAUUUUUGAAAAGUUGAAAUGUUUACAUUUUAUUGCAAGUAAUGUUCGAAACCUGUCAGCCUUUUUAUAAACUGAAAGUGCAAGGACUUCUUAGUAUGUUGCAUUGUUGGCAACAAGAGUUUUGUUAAACAGUUUUGUUUCUUUUUUUUAAGACUCUUAUUCAAAAGUGUUGUUUGGUGUUUCAUUCUUUUUGAUUUUGUAUUUCAAAAUAAAAAUUAAAUGCUGUAAAACACAGGUAUCAGCCCUGAUUGAUAUGUGUGAUGGGAAAACAUGUUAGGUUUUGAAUGAUUUAAACAUAUAAAGCAGUCAAAGCAGUUAACAACCAUGACAGAUCAUAAAAAUAACUGAAAGAGCCAUUAACCAGAGCUGAAAAAGAUACCAGUAAUAAUUGCAUAAAAAUCUCUUACCUCUAGUUUUGUUUACACAUUCAAUGAGAAAAAAUAACACAAACAUGUUUGCUUUUACAUUUUUUCUAUCAGACAAAAUGUAGAUUAGGGUUGGAUUUUACUCUGUACCUCCUUUGUUUUGUAGGUUCAGUCUGUUCAUGCAAAAUCUUAUCGUCACAUUUCGCGCCAUUCCUGACAAACUGGGCGGAAGUUUAUCCAGUCACGUGAGACGUCGUCUCCAGCAACUUUCCCGCCACUAUCAAAUCCCGCCCCUCCUCCGUGAAAGCUGCGACACUAUUGGCUGAUGCGAUUGUCAGACUCGCGCCACUUUUUGCUCUCCGACCGACACGAGCUGGGUGCUUGUGAAUGAGUUCAGCACUCCAAGAAUAGAAAAUAAAAUAUAUAUUUAAGCUUUACGUUCGACUUCAUCUGGGCUUUGUAGCGUUGCGUUACGAAUCAUCUGUCGC